ensembl:lncRNA
UUUUUUUUUUUUUUUUUGAGACAGUGUCUCGCUCUGUCACCCAGGCUGGAGUCCUAGUCUCCUUUCCCCAAUAUGUUAGGCCGAACACAAACUCCCCACAAGCAGAUGUGGGUCAACUUUGCCCUCUGAGGUUGGGUUCUGCUAGGGUUUGGGCCUGCUGAGCCAGACACAGAGGAAGAAAAGCUGAGGCAGGCCUGGGGUGCAGCAGCUCAGUGUCCCUUGCAUCAGCCCUGGAGAGAGACAAGGGGGCUGCUUGAAGGUGCCGUCUUCCUCCUGCCUGGAGAGGCCAUAUUUUUCAGCAGUAGGACAUACAUCUCUAGCAACCCUCGGGAGAGUUUACAGAAGCCGCGUUUAAUGCUCUGAAAUCACAGAGUGAGGAAAUUAUUCCCUGCCCACGGAGUUUUCAGUCCUUCUGCAAAGUCAAGAAGAAAAUAGCUACUAGAGCCAGGAGGCCAUCUCCUCUCCCCUCCCUCGUCACCCCUUUCACAGAGAGGACGAGCUCUGGGUCUUCACGAUCUUUUCACUUUUUGCUAAAGUGUAAUAGAAAUUGGGUUUUGCCACCAUUUGUUUUUAUGUUUCUCUUUACCUUUCACCUAUGGCAAGUGAUACUGAUUUUCCACUUAUAACAGUGAUGUAAAGUUUCCUUUCAAAACUGAGCUUGCAUUGAUAACAACAAGUGAGUCAAGUAAAUAUCAACACAGUUUCAAAAACAUAAAGUGGAUGACAGUACUGGGAAGGAGCAGGUCGGGCGAGAGCUGCCAGGGCGGGACACACUGAACGAAGGAGCUUGGAGGCUCCAGGACUACUUUGCUUGACCUCCCUGAGCUCUGCCCGGGUCUCUGGGUUCCCGCCUCUCCUGUGGGCACCAUUCAAAGCCAGUUCUCCUGGCUGGCUGCUGGGCCAGCUGCCGCGGCUCGGACGCCAAGGGCACCAAUGCCUAGCUCAGCCCCUGGCCCUCAUUCCCACUGGGAAGCUGAGAAGGAGCUGGUCUGAAGCCCUGGGUCAGGGAAGAUCUUUUGGACCCGACUUUACUCCGGAGCCUGUGGCUGGGCUUCAUGGGGAAGAGGAAAGGGGGCCGCUUUCGGACAGUCUGUUUCAGCUCAGGGGCAGAAGGCAGCCAAAAUUCCGGAGCUGCUGCUCUGGAAAGUCCUGGUAGAGUUAGCAGGGCAAAGCUACACGCACAGAGCCGAAGGCACACAAACUCCAGCUCCCAGAGCCGAAUGGCUUUGCCUGAACCAGUAUGAGGCCACGGGCUUGGAACACAGGAGAUCAAGGCAAGGGAGAGGAGAUCAAGGCAGAGAGGAGGGCACCCCUUGCCCAGAGUCUCCCAACAUAUACCCAGUCCUCCAAGCCAGCUCGAUGCCCCCUCCUGACUGGGUCUUCCUGGGUCUCCCCCAUCACAAAAUGAAAGCACCUGGCUCCCCGGCUGCAGGGUGGACCCAGAUUCCCCUGGCCCAGAAUUCUGUUUCCACGCCGGUCUCCCAAACCCCAAAAUGUGAGAGCUCAAUGGGGUCAGGACCUCUUGCAUCUCCAGGCCCCUGCCCAGCUCCGGCCAGCUUGGACCCUGCAUUCAACAGGGGCCAGCAAGUAUCUGGGGAGCACAGUCCAGUGCCCCAAACCUUCUGGUCAUCUGAUUCCCUGGCCCGGGUGGCCAGGUGCCUUGUCACUUGGGGACAGCUUGAGACGUGGGGGUGGCCUUCAUGCUCACUUAUGCCCUAGACGACCCCAACUGGUUGUGCCGAAGCCAUCAGCGCCUGGCUGUCCGGAACUCUCCCUGGCUUCCCUGAGUCCUGUUUUGGGGGUGCUGUCCUGUGAUUGGCCUAAGCCUGCUGGACCCCAAGCCUCAGCUUCAGCAUGGAAAGUACCACCGUCAAUGGUCCUGCCUCUCUGGAAGGUGAAUGGUUCCUUCUUAAGAGUUGGCAAGACAUAGGAAAUGGGGGAGUUCCUGAGCUUAAGGGUGGGAGGGGCACCUCCCUCCUCACACCCUGGGGACCUGUUGGUAAGGCACAAAGUAUGCUUCCCACAUUCUGUCACUCCAGGAGGCUUCUCAUGAUGGGCGCCUUGCCCAGGCACAGCCCCAUCCCCUUGAGGGGCUCCUGUGUCCUAUCCCAGCCCCAGAUGCUGGAGCUCCCUGGUACCUGAGUAUAGUCUUGGCUAAAAGAUCCCAGAAAGGUGACCACAGGCAAACAACCAGAAAGGGGACUGAGAGGGCUGGAUCUGGCUCCUCCAGCACUAGUGGCAGGAGAUGAGGGAAGGGGGCCUACCUGAGAGGGCUGCUGUCAGCAAUCCAGCGAUCCCGAAGAAGAGCCACAUGUCUGGAGCUGUCUCUGGCUGCUACACGCGGCUGCCUGUGGGAAGCACCAUUUUGGGGCCGGGAGGUGGACACGGCCGUUGUGCGCCCCUGGCGCAGGUCUGCUCUGCCCUUCGCUGUUCCUGUUCCUGUGUCUC